rnacentral:rRNA from 1 species
GAUGAACGCUGGCGGCGUGCUUAACACAUGCAAGUCGAACGAAGCGGAUUGAGAUCUUCGGAAGGAUAUCUGACUGAGUGGCGGACGGGUGAGUAACGCGUGGGUAACCUGCCUCAUACAGGGGGAUAACAGUUAGAAAUGACUGCUAAUACCGCAUAAGCGCACAGUACCGCAUGGUACGGUGUGAAAAACUCCGGUGGUAUGAGAUGGACCCGCGUCUGAUUAGCUAGUUGGUGGGGUAACGGCCUACCAAGGCGACGAUCAGUAGCCGAUCUGAGAGGGUGACCGGCCACAUUGGGACUGAGACACGGCCCAAACUCCUACGGGAGGCAGCAGUGGGGAAUAUUGCACAAUGGGCGAAAGCCUGAUGCAGCGACGCCGCGUGAGUGAAGAAGUAUUUCGGUAUGUAAAGCUCUAUCAGCAGGGAAGAAAAUGACGGUACCUGACUAAGAAGCACCGGCUAAAUACGUGCCAGCCGCCGCGGUAAUAC